rnacentral:lncRNA from 1 species
CAGCUCUUGUGUCACUAAGAGGCAGUGAUGAAGAGUAGGUCCCUGGUUUUCCACUGCAUGAAACUAACUUUUUCUAUCCUUUUACAACCCCAAACCAGCAAGGCUAAUUUGUAAAGAUUAAAGACAAAUGAACUGAGUCACCUCACAUUCCAGUAGAUGUCUAUCCUUCUUUGGGUGUCUUUGGAGAGGAAAAAAAGGGGCCCUCUCCUAUAAAGUGCCACUUCUCAUAAAGAAAGUUGUUAUUUCACAUCAACAGUUUUGGCACCCAACGUCGGUGCCCCCAGAUCAUCAAUGGGAUCACCCAGAUCAUUGCCAGACACCACGUGGGCCCCUUUCUACCUCUGACAAUGCGGCCUCCUCAGGAGACGUUGGCAAGUCUUUCCAGAGACCCAGGCCUUCUCUGCCUUGGAUGACAAUUCUUCAGUUUAUUUUGAGCUGGUUGUUGGUAUCUGGAUAUCCUGUUGUUCUUUCAGAAUAUU